GGAGCCAUAGCUCAGUGGUAGAGCAUCUGCUUUGCAUGUAGAAGUUCCCAGGUUCACUUCCCAGCAUUUCCA